UACGGAGGGUGCGAGCGUUGUCCGGAAUCACUGGGCGUAAAGGGCGCGUAGGUGGCGCGACAAGUCAACGGUGAAAGCUCGGCGCUCAACGCCGAGUCGGCCGUCGAUACUGUUGGGCUUGAGCACUGUAGAGGCUAAUGGAAUUCCGGGUGUAGCGGUGGAAUGCGUAGAGAUCCGGAAGAACACCGGUGGCGAAGGCGGUUAGCUGGGCAGUUGCUGGACACU
rnacentral:rRNA from 1 species